CGCAAAUCAAUCUAAAUCUAACUUGAAAUCAUUUUCUAUAGCAGUUACUUACUUGAGUUUUGCAGCAGAUAGAAUAAACACAGAGGUUGAAAACGAGUUUUCAGGUUUCUGCCAAUGAACACGAACAAUACAAGAAGAAAGAAGAGGGAUUGGAGAGGUGCGGAAGGAUGGCAACCAAAGUGUGAUAUUUAUAAAGGAGGAAAUUGAGUCGAG
rnacentral:misc_RNA from 1 species